rnacentral:lncRNA from 1 species
UUUCUACAAAAUCAAAACAUCAAGAAUGGAAAAAGAAAGGGGAACGAUGGUCAAGGGUAGUAGGUCAAAUCCAUCUUCAAAUCCUUGCCUAACUUAAUUGCAUGAGAGAUAUUAUGUUAAAUCAAGAACCAUAGCACUCCAAGGUAAACGGGUCAACGGGUCAAGCUCGAUUGCCAAAGGGAAGCCCUCAUUGUAAAGUAUGAUGAUUUGGUGUUAUCGUGUAAAGCGUGUAUCUUAGCUCGGGAUUGGUUUUAAAGUGGAAGAUCAAGUGCUCUGGAUGAAACGUAGACACACCUCAUAAUACUUUGGUUAUGUAUUAUAAAGGUGUUUAAUGGGCAAAAGUUUAUAGAUAGCCUUAAACAAAUAGUCAAGUUUUCUACUUAUCAUAUGUUGAUAUU